rnacentral:snRNA from 1 species
GGAAUUCCUGGCAGGGGAGACACCAUGAUCAGGCAGAUGGUUUUCCUAGGGUGAGGCUCAUCCCCUGCACUCCGAGUGUGCUGACCCCUGAGAUUUCCCCCAAUGCGGGAAACUCAACUGCAUAAUUUGUUAUUCUGUGAUUCCUGUAGGAACAAUCUGA